GAUGAGCUCGAAGCUUGGUCUGAGACAUUAUCCAUGACAUAUCGUAGAAAUGAUAAAAUAAUAAGUCUUUUGUUUUUUUUAAUAUUUUUUCAGCUAAAAGCCGCCACUUUUAUUAAAAGCCAAGAGGGAAAAUCUUGGGCUGAAUCGAAAUUUUUGACACCCAUUGUAAAUUUGAUUAUUUUUUAUAUACAUAUUAUAUUUUCGAUUUACUAUUUUUUUUUUAAAUACAUCAAUUUAUCAAAGCGACGGACGGUAAACAAAACGUUUGGGGAAAAUAAAAAAAUUGGAUAAUGGAGAUUGGAGAAGCAGUAAGUAUGAUUAAUACAACCAACGAAAGAUGGAUUGCCCCUGAUUCAAAAGGAAAAGACGUCUCAGAAAAUACGUCUAUACCUAAUGACGAGCGUGAAAUGUGGACGACACAAAUGGAGAAGAUAAAGGUAUUUUAAAUUUAUUUCAUUAAUUUCAUAAAUUUUCGAAUUCAUUUAUGUUUUAAAUUUCAGAACGCCGCAAAAAAAGAGCAAGAAAAAAAUUUCAAAAGUCAACAAAGACAUGUAGUCGAUGAGAGCUACAAUUAUGACGAUGACUGAAACAUUCAAAGCUUCCGGAAUGGACUUGAUGAACAUUCCGUCUACUUCGAAAUCAAACCUAAUACCGUUUGCAUUGGAAUCAGAUCAUUUCAGUUCAGAUUCCGACGACUCUAGUAUUUAAUUUUGUAAACUUCGAAUGUUGUUUAAUUUCUGUUAUUUUAUAUUUAAAUAAAAACAUCGAUUCUAAUUUUAAAUUUCUGUUUCAAAACGUAUUCUAAAAAAACGAU
rnacentral:lncRNA from 1 species